AAAAAUGAAUAGCUGAAAUGCUAAAGCUAAAUUGGAUUAAUAGCUUAAAACCGUAAAAAGAAGGUGAAAUACUGAGAAAAG